UACAGAGGUCUCAAGCGUUGUUCGGAUUCAUUGGGCGUAAAGGGUGCGUAGGCGGCGCGGUAAGUCGGGUGUGAAAUCUCGGAGCUUAACUCCGAAACUGCAUUCGAUACUGCCGUGCUUGAGGACUGGAGAGGAGACUGGAAUUUACGGUGUAGCGGUGAAAUGCGUAGAUAUCGUAAGGAAGACCAGUGGCGAAGGCGGGUCACUGGCUCGUAACUGACGCUCAUGCACGACAGCGUGGGGAUCAAACAGG
rnacentral:rRNA from 1 species